rnacentral:rRNA from 1 species
UACGAAGGGGGCUAGCGUUGUUCGGAAUUACUGGGCGUAAAGCGCACGUAGGCGGACUACUAAGUCAGGGGUGAAAUCCCGGGGCUCAACCCCGGAACUGCCUUUGAUACUGAUAGUCUCGAGUCCGGAAGAGGUGAGUGGAAUUCCGAGUGUAGAGGUGAAAUUCGUAGAUAUUCGGAGGAACACCAGUGGCGAAGGCGGCUCACUGGUCCGGUACUGACGCUGAGGCACGAAAGCGUGGGGAGCAAACAGG